rnacentral:rRNA from 1 species
UACGGGAGCAGCAGUGGGGAAUAUUGCACAAUGGGCGCAAGCCUGAUGCAGCCAUGCCGCGUGUAUGAAGAAGGCCUUCGGGUUGUAAAGUACUUUCAGUCGUGAGGAAGGUGUUAAGGUUAAUAACCUUAGCAAUUGACGUUAGCGACAGAAGAAGCACCGGCUAACUCCGUGCCAGCAGCCGCGGUAAUACGGAGGGUGCGAGCGUUAAUCGGAAUUACUGGGCGUAAAGGGCACGCAGGCGGUUAAUUAAGUUGGAUGUGAAAUCCCCGGGCUUAACCUGGGAAUGGCAUUCAAGACUGGUUAGCUAGAGUCUUGUAGAGGGGGUAGAAUUCCAUGUGUAGCGGUGAAAUGCGUAGAGAUGUGGAGGAAUACCGGGUGGCGAAGGCGGCCCCUGGGACAAAGACUGACGCUCAUGUGCGAAAGCGUGGGGAGCGAAACAGGGAUUAGAUACC